rnacentral:rRNA from 1 species
ACACGACUACAUUAGACUACCCGGUAGUCCCAGCUGUAAACUAUGUGCGUUAGGUGUGUCAGUGACCACGUGUCACUGAGGCGCCGAAGGGAACCGUGAAACGCACCGCCGUGGGAGUACGGUCGCAAGGCUAGAAACUUAAAGGAAUUGGCGGGGGAGCACCACAACGGGUGGAGCUUGCGGUUUAAUUGGAUUCAACGCCGGAAAUCUUACCGGGACCGACAGCAACAUGAAGGCCAGGCUGAAGACUUUGCCGGAUUAGCUG